rnacentral:rRNA from 1 species
UAUUAAAGGUCCUGCCUGCCCAGUGAAACUUGUUUUAACGGCCGCGGUAUUCUAACCGUGCAAAGGUAGCGUAAUCACUUGUCUUCUAAAUAAAGACCAGUAUGAAUGGCUAAAUGAGGAUAAACCUGUCUCCUACACCCCAUCAGUGAAACUGAUCUCCCUGUUCAAAAGCAGGAAUAUCAACACAAGACGAGAAGACCCUGUGGAGCUUUAAAUACACUACUAAGAAACACACAAAGUAAUUAGUACUGACUUUAAGUUGGGGCGACUUCGGAACAAAAUAAAACUUCCGAGCACAGAACUACAACUUCUAACUUAGGCCAACAAGCCUAAACACAAACUGACCCAGUCAAACUGACCAACGAACCAAGUUACCCCAGGGAUAACAGCGCCAUCUUCUUCAAGAGUCCCUAUCGACAAGAAGGUUUACGACCUCGAUGUUGGAUCAGGACACCCUAAUGGUGCAGCCGCUAUUAAAGGUUCG